rnacentral:rRNA from 1 species
CACGUAGGGCGCGAGCGUUGUCCGGAAUUAUUGGGCGUAAAGAGCUCGUAGGCGGCCUGUUGCGUCCGCUGUGAAAGCCCGGGGCUUAACCCCGGGUCGGCAGUGGAUACGGGCAGGCUAGAGGUAGGUAGGGGAGAAUGGAAUUCCCGGUGUAGCGGUGAAAUGCGCAGAUAUCGGGAGGAACACCGGUGGCGAAGGCGGUUCUCUGGGCCUUACCUGACGCUGAGGAGCGAAAGCUAGGGGAGCAAACAGG